rnacentral:rRNA from 1 species
AUGAACGCUAGCGACAGGCUUAACACAUGCAAGUCGAGGGGCAGCACAGGUAGCAAUACCGGGUGGCGACCGGCGCACGGGUGAGUAACGCGUAUGCAACUUGCCUAUCAGAGGGGGAUAACCCGGCGAAAGUCGGACUAAUACCGCAUGAAGCAGGGGCCCCGCAUGGGGAUAUUUGCUAAAGAUUCAUCGCUGAUAGAUAGGCAUGCGUUCCAUUAGGCAGUUGGCGGGGUAACGGCCCACCAAACCGACGAUGGAUAGGGGUUCUGAGAGGAAGGUCCCCCACAUUGGUACUGAGACACGGACCAAACUCCUACGGGAGGCAGCAGUGAGGAAUAUUGGUCAAUGGGCGUAAGCCUGAACCAGCCAAGUCGCGUGAGGGAUGAAGGUUCUAUGGAUCGUAAACCUCUUUUAUAAGGGAAUAAAGUGCGGGACGUGUCCCGUUUUGUAUGUACCUUAUGAAUAAGGAUCGGCUAACUCCGUGCCAGCAGCCGCGGUAAUACGGAGGAUCCGAGCGUUAUCCGGAUUUAUUGGGUUUAAAGGGUGCGUAGGCGGCCUUUUAAGUCAGCGGUGAAAGUCUGUGGCUCAACCAUAGAAUUGCCGUUGAAACUGGGGGGCUUGAGUAUGUUUGAGGCAGGCGGAAUGCGUGGUGUAGCGGUGAAAUGCAUAGAUAUCACGCAGAACCCCGAUUGCGAAGGCAGCCUGCCAAGCCAUUACUGACGCUGAUGCACGAAAGCGUGGGGAUCAAACAGGAUUAGAUACCCUGGUAGUCCACGCAGUAAACGAUGAUCACUAGCUGUUUGCGAUACACUGUAAGCGGCACAGCGAAAGCGUUAAGUGAUCCACCUGGGGAGUACGCCGGCAACGGUGAAACUCAAAGGAAUUGACGGGGGCCCGCACAAGCGGAGGAACAUGUGGUUUAAUUCGAUGAUACGCGAGGAACCUUACCCGGGUUUGAACGCAUUCGGACCGAGGUGGAAACACCUUUUCUAGCAAUAGCCGUUUGCGAGGUGCUGCAUGGUUGUCGUCAGCUCGUGCCGUGAGGUGUCGGCUUAAGUGCCAUAACGAGCGCAACCCUUGCCACUAGUUACUAACAGGUGAUGCUGAGGACUCUGGUGGGACUGCCAGCGUAAGCUGCGAGGAAGGCGGGGAUGACGUCAAAUCAGCACGGCCCUUACAUCCGGGGCGACACACGUGUUACAAUGGCGUGGACAAAGGGAGGCCACCUGGCGACAGGGAGCGAAUCCCCAAACCACGUCUCAGUUCGGAUCGGAGUCUGCAACCCGACUCCGUGAAGCUGGAUUCGCUAGUAAUCGCGCAUCAGCCAUGGCGCGGUGAAUACGUUCCCGGGCCUUGUACACACCGCCCGUCAAGCCAUGGGAGCCGGGGGUACCUGAAGUGCGUAACCGCGAGGAGCGCCCUAGGGUAAAACUGGUGACUGGGGCU